AUGACCAAAUCACCCCCGUGGUGGACUUGGAGUUGGCUGUACUAGCCUCUCUUAAAAUCAGUGGCGGUGCUCUUAAAGCUCUACGCGUAGUAAUUUUCUCGCUACAGGGUCUUGAUUGUACUUGCCAACAACCCCAACUUAUCAUAAGGUUGACCUCGGAUCAGGUAGGGAUACCCGCUGAACUUAA
rnacentral:rRNA from 1 species